CUCUUCCAGUGGUCCAUUACUUGGAUUCAUCAACACCAGCAUCAUGAUGCUCCUACUGAGGCGCAUGUUACUCACCUUACUUAUUGCAGCCAACAGAUGGCUUGUUUCUGGAGAGAAUAUGAUUACCUGCUAUGGCAAUAUCCAGCACCUCGCUUGUGACACUGGACUGAUAAAGGUGAAGUCUACUAUAUAUGGACGUACAAACCGUGACACCUGUAGUAAUCGGCCCCCUUCUGAGGUUGCUAACACCAACUGUGCCUCGAGAAUUUCUACUAUUGCUGACAGGUGCAAUGGACUAAGAGAGUGUGAGGUAAAGACUGAUUUACUUGGCAACCCUGACCCAUGUUAUGGAACCUACAAGUACUACAACACCACUUAUGACUGCAUCAGUGGCCAGAACAUUGUGAUCUGUGAGCAAGGCUACAGCACGCUGGACUGUGGAGAUGGUUCUAUUCAGAUCAUAAAUGCAAACUAUGGCCGUGCUGAUUCAGUAACCUGCGUAAAUGGACUUUCUGGCAGUUUAGUCCAGAACACCAACUGUUACGCUCCAAACACAUUCUCCAAAGUGGCCUCAAUGUGUAAUGGAAAGAAGACAUGCACUGUACAAUCUUCAUACACCAUCUUUACCGAUCCUUGCAUUGGGACUGCUCAAUACCUCACUGUGUCCUACAAGUGCCAUAGGACACUUGUGACCUGUGAAGGCAAUACUGCUGUACUGACAUGUGGUGCUCGCCGUAUAAAUAUUAUCAGCGCUAACUACGGCCGAACCGAUACCACCACAUGUUCUUCUGGAAGACCUGCCAGUCAACUCACUGUCACAGACUGCUACACGCCUGAUGCACGAAAUAAAGUUGCAGCUAGAUGUGAGGGACAGAGCAGCUGUAAUGUGCCUGCUACAAAUGAUGUCUUCUCUGACCCAUGUGUUGGCACUUAUAAGUACCUGACAGUUGUGUACUCCUGUUUCUAACUUGCUUAUUGCAGCACCUGGUUUCCCUGUUUCUGGAGAAACUGUGAUUACCUGUGAUGGUGAUGUCCAGCGCCUCACUUGUGUGAUAAAGGUGAUGUUUACUGCGUACGGCCGUUCGGAUAGCCAAAUCUGCAGUGCUCCACAACCCAAUCUUAAGGUUACUGAUCCCAGCUGCUCCAGUACCGUUUCCACUAUUGCUGACAGGUAAAGUAUUUCUUGGCUUAUACUAUAUACAAUAGAUCCACAACAACUGUCAGAAAUGUAAACAAAAUUUCUUUAAUAUCAAUUUAAUAAAUGUUUGAAAUAUUUGAUGCCACAGAGCUGCUAAAUACUAGAAUCUAAUUAUCCACAAUGUGUUAUUCUACAAUAGCACAACUAUACAAUAGGCAACAGUAUUGUUGCAAAGUUGAUAAUAUUGUAAUAAAAUUGUUUAAUACAAUAUUCUUCC